UACGGAAGGGGCAAGCGUUGUUCGGAAUCAUUGGGCGUAAAGGGCGCGUAGGCGGUUCUGUAUGUCUACCGUGAAAGCGUACGGCUCAACCGUAUUUUGUCGGUGGAAACUGCAGGACUUGAGGCUGGGAGGGGCUGGUGGAAUUCCCUGUGUAGCGGUGAAAUGCGUAGAUAUCGGGAGGAAAACCAGUGGCGAAGGCGACUACCUGGCCUGUUUCUUGACGCUGAGGCGCGAAAGCUAGGGGAGCAAACGGG
rnacentral:rRNA from 1 species